UACGGGGGGGGCAAGCGUUGUUCGGAAUUACUGGGCGUAAAGGGCUCGUAGGCGGCCGACUAAGUCAGACGUGAAAUCCCUCGGCUUAACCGGGGAACUGCGUCUGAUACUGGACGGCUUGAGUUCGGGAGAGGGAUGCGGAAUUCCAGGUGUAGCGGUGAAAUGCGUAGAUAUCUGGAGGAACACCGGUGGCGAAGGCGGCAUCCUGGACCGACACUGACGCUGAUGAGCGAAAGCCAGGGGAGCAAACAGG
rnacentral:rRNA from 1 species